CGUGUGGUGCUGUGCAAGCUAAGCUUGGCACGGAGAGCGACACGGCCUUCUACUGAGGU
rfam:Triticum urartu cultivar G1812 contig425028, whole genome shotgun sequence.